UACGUAGGGUGCGAGCGUUGUCCGGAAUUACUGGGCGUAAAGAGCUCGUAGGUGGUUUGUCGCGUUGUUCGUGAAAACUUACAACUCAAUUGUGGGCGUGCGGGCGAUACGGGCAGACUGGAGUACUGCAGGGGAGACUGGAAUUCCUGGUGUAGCGGUGGAAUGCGCAGAUAUCGGGAGGAACACCAGUAGCGAAGGCGGCACUCUGGGCCGGUACUGACGCUGAGGAGCGAAAGCGUGGGGAGCAAACAGG
rnacentral:rRNA from 1 species